CUCACCCUGCGGUGUUCGUAUUUAAUUGCAAUAAUGUAAAACCAACACUUUUAAAAAGGGAACGUAGGUCUCCGAUUAUGGCGCACAUGCCUCCUUUGCCUUUGGCAAUGCCAGUGGACUUGUAAAGUAAUCGGGCUACAGCCCACCUGCAAUGCAGGUUUUUACCUUAUGCAAUAUACGGCACAUGCAGGGUUUUU
rnacentral:other from 1 species